rnacentral:rRNA from 1 species
GAGGCAGCAGUGGGGAAUUUUGGACAAUGGGCGAAAGCCUGAUCCAGCAAUGCCGCGUGAGUGAAGAAGGCCUUCGGGUUGUAAAGCUCUUUUGUCAGGGAAGAAACGGUGAGAGCUAAUAUCUCUUGCUAAUGACGGUACCUGAAGAAUAAGCACCGGCUAACUACGUGCCAGCAGCCGCGGUAAUACGUAGGGUGCAAGCGUUAAUCGGAAUUACUGGGCGUAAAGCGUGCGCAGGCGGUUUUGUAAGUCUGAUGUGAAAUCCCCGGGCUCAACCUGGGAAUUGCAUUGGAGACUGCAAGGCUAGAAUCUGGCAGAGGGGGGUAGAAUUCCACGUGUAGCAGUGAAAUGCGUAGAUAUGUGGAGGAACACCGAUGGCGAAGGCAGCCCCCUGGGUCAAGAUUGACGCUCAUGCACGAAAGCGUGGGGAGCAAACAGGAUUAGAUACCCUGGUAGUCCACGCCCUAAACGAUGUCUACUAGUUGUCGGGUCUUAAUUGACUUGGUAACGCAGCUAACGCGGAAGUAGACC